CUCAGAAGGCCACAUGCAUGACAUGUCCAAUAUUUGCGGCGUCUUUGAAGAAAACUUCCAGUCAGGCUGAAUUACACAAGUGUUGCCAUGGCUGACAUCUGAAAUGUGAGUAAGGGUUGGUGUCAUGUCUUCUCAGCUGUUCUGGAUCCAGACUGAAGCUUGUUCAGCUGCACCACUGUUGGUCUGCUCAGCCAAGUCCCUCUGGGCAGCCACUCCACUUUGGUUCCACUGCUCCGGUCCAGUCUGGAAGUUCCACCUUUGGUCUGGUCCGCUCCUCUGUCUACACCACUUACUGCAAUUGAUUAUGAAUUCUGGAGAUCUGGCUGGAUUUGAACCAGGGAUCUCUGGCAUUGUCUGCCAGUGCUCAGACCGCUGAGCCACAGAUCUCCAACUAUAUGUGUGCUGGAACUUAUAUUUGACUACUUACCUGUGGGUUUUGCAACCAAGUCAGGAUGAGCCCCAACAUAGGGCUGGAAGGAGGCAGGUCUGGAGGUGUGGUGUAGCGGUAGUGUUUGCUUGCUCAUGCUCACAUCAGGUUUGCAUCGAGAC